CUGGGAUAUUUAUAAACUGCUCUAGCAAAGCAUUAACAGAGAUACCUGCCAACUUCCCAAAAGACACUUGUCAACUAGACCUAUCCAACAACAGAAUAACCAGUAUACAGGUGAAUGCAUUUAACGGUCUGUCAAGACUGUCGACUCUGUACCUAUCCAACAACAGAAUAACCAGUAUACAGGUGAAUGCAUUUAAUGGUCUGUCAGGAUUAUUGAGUGUAUUACUAUCCAACAACAGAAUAACCGGUAUACAGGAGAAUGCAUUUAAUGGUCUUUCAAGAGUAUGGUAUCUAAGUCUAUCCAACAACAGAAUAACCAGCAUACAGGAGAAUGCAUUUAUUGGUCUGUCAAAACUAUCGGAACU